rnacentral:lncRNA from 1 species
UUCACCUACAAACACUAUUUUCAACACAUUCACAUACAGAACUGAUACCUACCAACACAAUUUUCAACACAUUAACAUACAGAAUUGAUACCUACUACAAGAUGCAUUGAUCCUUCUGCAUCCCAAAUCAUCUCAUAUGCACAGUUAAGAUUAAAUUAUCUCUUCUACGUUCUACUUCUAAUGGUACUUAUUCUUUGUUUUCCAAACCCCAUUAAAUCCCUAAAAUGAUGACAUACACUCACACCACUAGAUGGGCAAAGCACGAUUACAAUGACCAACACAUGAAGGUUCCUGGAAUUUUAAGAAAAGACAACAAGCAAGCACAAUGCAAAAAAAAAAAAAAAGGAACAACCAACAGCUAUGAAUCUGAGCUUUAACAAAUUACCACAAAAAAUUGCGAUAAAAAAAAACCCAACUUUUGGAAAAAGUAAAUAAUAUUUAAACCGCAGAAAAACUUUAAAAAUUAGUUACUAUGCUUCAGCAAAUUACUAGAAACUAGAAAAAGACGCAAAAAAACAACUAAAGCCAAUUUAUAUUUUUGCAAACACAACUACUACAGAGACAGACUACUCUUAUCCAGAAAAUCAAAGCCUAAAAUCCUACACCAGAGAUAGACUACUCUUACCCAGAAAAUCAAUGCCCUAAAAUCCUA